ensembl:lincRNA Gm38326 predicted gene, 38326
UUUGCUAUUUGGUGAAUGUUUCGCUGCAGUGCAGGUCUCAGUCAGUUGUGGACUACAUAAAGCUGUGACAGAGCAACUUAGUUACAGAUUUCAACAAGAGGAGAAGCAGCCUUUUUAGAGAAAUAUACUUAAUUCCCCACGGAGAACAAGGGGAGUCCCUCCCUUGGCUCACUCCCAUUUAUUUGUGGACUUUGGAGGCAUUCUGUUUGAAACUAAAAACCAUGGCUUAAUUAUGGAAAAUGAAGUGUUGUGGUCCUUUUCUAAUAUCAUUACUCAGUAUGUACUUAUAUACCAGAGUGCAGGAGCCAAAGUCUCACAGGAUUGGGUUCCUGCUGUCUGCUGGAACCUGAUGGAAGUGGAUGGUGUUAGGAAGCUCCCAGGAAGCUAGUCUUUAGAUCUAUUUGAAAAUCAUGACACUUAGGGCAUUAGUCUUCCUGUCCCUCUUAGAUAAGAGCCCAUGACUUUACAGCCCUUCAUUAAGAAUGCUAGUAUAGAGAUCAAUUGAAAAACUCUUACAUUUCUUUGUUAUUACUUAAGAAAGCAUAAACUUUCCCUGAAUGAUAAUUCCUACCAUUACUUUUAGAGGAGAAAGCACGUUACAUUUUAAAGGCUGGAAUCCUUUUGUGACAUUGUACUACUUUUAACAAUAGUUUAUUUCUUCUUUUAACAAUUAAAUUUUUAAAAUAU